AGUGAACGCUGGCGGUAGGCCUAACACAUGCAAGUCGAACGGCAGCACAGUAAGAGCUUGCUCUUACGGGUGGCGAGUGGCGGACGGGUGAGGAAUACAUCGGAAUCUACUUUUUCGUGGGGGAUAACGUAGGGAAACUUACGCUAAUACCGCAUACGACCUACGGGUGAAAGCAGGGGAUCUUCGGACCUUGCGCGAUUGAAUGAGCCGAUGUCGGAUUAGCUAGUUGGCGGGGUAAAGGCCCACCAAGGCGACGAUCCGUAGCUGGUCUGAGAGGAUGAUCAGCCACACUCGAACUGAGACACGGUCCAGACCCCUACGGGAGGCAGCAGUGGGGAAUAUUGGACAAUGGGCGCAAGCCUGAUCCAGCCAUACCGCGUGGGUGAAGAAGGCCUUCGGGUUGUAAAGCCCUUUUGUUGGGAAAGAAAAGCAGCAGGUUAAUACCCCGCUGUUCUGACGGUACCCAAAGAAUAAGCACCGGCUAACUUCGUG
rnacentral:rRNA from 1 species